GACGCACCACGAUUUGCCUUUUCCAUCCUAUCAACAAAUCAACAGGCCUCUUUAGGAAGAUACAAUUGGCUCGUACUUCCUCAAGUUUUAGGGGAGAAUCCACAGCUUCAUGGUCUAAUAUUCCAGUGGGAUCUAGAGAAGAAGGACCAUCUGAUAAUCUUAGAAUGUGCUUUUCUAUCUCGUCAGCUAGGUGUAGUGGAGAGAGGAGAAAGGUCUCUGCUAAAAGCGGUUUCCAAUGACCAGCUAUACAGUUUGCUCAAGAAAUUAAUCUUCCUUCUUUCUAUUCGAUAGGAACCUUACUUCAUAAUACACAUCGUUCACAUUCUGUGCUCCCAGGUUUCCUAGCAGAAGGCAAUGCUAUGGCUGAUCUUUUAGCCAUGUCAAUAUAGAAUACACUUCCCAACGUUAUUGAACAAGCCAGAAUGAGCCAUGCUUUCUAUCAUCAAAAUGCAGCUGUCUUUGUAAGAAUGUUUAACAUCUCUCAGAAUCAGGCUAAAGCGAUUGUCCAAUCAUGUAGAGAUUGCCAAAAAUUAGCCUUACCAGCAAUAGCAACAGAGGUUAACCCUCGAGGCUUAAAUAGCCUGCAGAUAUGGCAAACUGACAUAACUCAGUAUCAGUCAUUUGCACGGUUUAAACAUAUACACUUAUCAAUAGAUACGUUCUCAUGAGCAAUUUUCACUUCUGCACAUCAAGGAGAAAAGAGUAGAGAUGUAAUUAAACAUUUCUUACAAGCAUUUUCAUCCCUAGGCUUUCCUCAAGAAGUUAAAAUGGACAACAGACCAGCCAACAUUUCUAACAAACUACAGGAGUUUUUCAAAAUCUGGGGUAUCAAACACACCACAGGUAUUCCACAUUCCUCCACAAGCCAAUCUAUUGUAGAAAGAGCACACAGAUCACUGAAAAUGAUCCUUGAAAGGCAAAAGGAGGGACAGAGGUGCUGUCUACCAUAGAGAGGCUGAAUAAAGCUAUAUAUAUGUUUUUUAAUUUCUUAAAUAAUUCUUUUAUGGUGCACAAAAGUAAUUGAAAAAAUACAAUGUUAUUUUGCAUUCCCAAUGCAGCCAGCAAAUCCCUUUCCAGUGAAUUAUAAUUACAAUUAGGAACAAAUAGAAAUGCAUGCAUUUCAAACGUAACACCCACAUGUACUAAUUGUGGUU